rnacentral:rRNA from 1 species
CCUUAGUUGCCAGCAUUCAGUUGGGCACUCUAAGGUGACUGCCGGCUAAAAGUCGGAGGAAGGUGGGGAUGACGUCAAAUCAUCAUGCCCCUUAUGACCUGGGCUACACACGUGCUACAAUGGGCGGUACAAAGGGUCGCGAACCCGCGAGGGGGAGCCCAAUCCCAAAAAGCCGCUCUCAGUUCGGAUUGCAGGCUGCAACUCGCCUGCAUGAAGCCGGAAUCGCUAGUAAUCGCGGAUCAGCAUGCCGCGGUGAAUACGUUCCCGGGCCUU